UGUGGUUUAAUUCGAUGCAACGCGAAAACCUUACCACCUUUGACAUGGCAGGAAUCCUAAGAGAUUUGGGAGUGCUCGCAAGAGAGCCGGAACACAGGUGCUGCAUGGCUGCGUCAGCUCGUGUCGUGAGAUGUUGGGUUAAGUCCCGCAACGAGCGCAACCCUUGUCAUUAGUUGCCAUCAUUUGGUUGGGCACUCUAAUGAGACUGCCGGUGACAAACCGGAGGAAGUGGGGAUGACGUCAAGUCCUCAUGGCCCUUAUGGGUAGGGCUUCACACGUCAUACAAUGGUCGGUACAGAGGGUUGCCAAGCCGCGAGGUGGAGCCAAUCCCAGAAAGCCGAUCGUAGUCCGGAUUGUUCUCUGCAACUCGAGAGCAUGAAGUCGGAAUCGCUAGUAAUCGCGGAUCAGCAUGUCGCGGUGAAUACGUUCCCGGGUCUU
rnacentral:rRNA from 1 species